GUGCCUGUUCCAAAAUAUAGCUCAGUCGGUUAGAGUGUGGUGUUGAUAAUGCCAAGGUUGCAGGUUUGAUCCCUGUAUAGGACA